CCUACGGGAGGCAGCAGUGGGGACUCUUGCGCAAUGUGCGACAGCCUUACGCAGCGACGCCGCGUGAGUGAUGAAGGUCUUCGGAUCGUAAACCUCUGUCAGCAGGGAAGAACGGUCACUGUGCUAAUCAGCAGUGAAUUGACGGUACCUGCAAAGGAAGCACCGGCUAACUCCGUGCCAGCAGCCGAGGUAAUACGGAGGGUGCUAGCGUUAAUCGGAAUUACUGGGCGUAAAGCGCACGUAGGCAGUAUGUCCAGUCAAGGGUGAAAUCCCCGGGCUCACCGUGGGAACUGCCUUUGAAACUGGCAAACUUGAGUGUGUGAGAGGAUAGUGGAAUUCCAGGUGUAGGAGUGAAAGCCGUAGAUAUCUGGAGGAACAUCAGUGGCGAAGGCGACUAUCUGGCACAUAACUGACGCUGAGGAGCGAAAGCGUGGGUAGCAAACAGGAUUAGAUACCCCGGUAGUC
rnacentral:rRNA from 1 species